ACGAACGCUGGCGGCGUGCUUAACACAUGCAAGUCGAACGGAAAGGCCCCUUUGGGGGUACUCGAGUGGCGAACGGGUGAGUAACACGUGAGUAACCUGCCCUUGACUUCGGGAUAACUUCAGGAAACUGGGGCUAAUACCGGAUAGGAAUCCUUGCUGCAUGGUGGGGGGUGGAAAGCUUCGGCGGUUUUGGAUGGACUCGCGGCUUAUCAGCUUGUUGGUGGGGUAGUGGCUUACCAAGGCAUUGACGGGUAGCCGGCCCGGGAGGGCGACCGGCCACAUUGGGACUGAGAUACGGCCCAGACUCCUACGGGAGGCAGCAGUGGGGAAUAUUGCACAAUGGGCGGAAGCCUGAUGCAGCAACGCCGCGUGCGGGAUGACGGCCUUCGGGUUGUAAACCGCUUUCAGCAGGGGCGAAGCUUGUGGUGACGGUACCUGCAGAAGAAGCACCGGCUAACUACGUG
rnacentral:rRNA from 1 species